GUAGGUGGCAAGCGUUGUCCGGAUUUAUUGGGUUUAAAGGGUGCGUAGGCGGCUUAUUAAGUCAGUGGUGAAAUACUCUAGCUCAACUAGAGGGGUGCCAUUGAUACUGAUGAGCUUGAGUACAGAUGAGGUAGGCGGAAUUGACGGUGUAGCGGUGAAAUGCUUAGAUAUCGUCAAGAACACCUAUAGCGAAGGCAGCUUACUAGGCUGUAGCUGACGCUGAGGCACGAAAGUGUGGGGAUCAAACAGGAUUAGAUACCCUGGUAGUCCACACUGUAAACGUUGAUUACUCGCUGUGUGCGAUAUACAGUACGCGGCCAAGCGAAAGCGAUAAGUAAUCCACCUGGGGAGUACGCCGGCAACGGUG
rnacentral:rRNA from 1 species